ensembl:lncRNA
CCUUUCAAUUAACCUCUUUCCUGCUAGAUGUUUGUGAGGUCCACAAUCCAAUUACUGAAAAGAAAGAUACUCUCUUAAUCCUGCUGCUGCUGCUUCUAAGUCGCUUCAGUUGUGUCUGACUCUGUGGGACCCCAUAGAGAGCAGCCCACCAGGCUCCUUUGCCCAUGGGAUUCUCUAGGAAAGAAUACUGGAGUGGAUUGCCAUUUCCUUCUCCACCCUUAAUCCUACCAAGAAGUUAAAGGACAAUGUUGAGAAAUUGGUUUGGCUAAACCAGUUGGCUAAUUGCCUUGAAAGGAAUUGAUUUUGCUCUGUUCUGUGUCUUCAACUCUAAGUCUAACCCUGGUCAGUGGAGGAGAAUGAUUGCCAAAGAUUUCGACGGGUCCCUCUGAGAGUGUGUCGGACUGCAGUGAAGAAGGACAGAGCAAAUCUCAGGAUCCUGAAGGACUCAGAAGCUGUUUGCUCCUCCCCCUACAGAGUGCGUCCUUUUCAUGGGCAGAGAAUGGAUCUUUGUUAUCAGUAUCUCUUCCAACACCCCGGUAGGUACAGACUGGUGAAGGAGGAACAGAUGGCAUACUGGCAAUAUAUUGGGGGAACCCGUCUACACCCAGAAAACCAGAUUCCUUCCUGAAAAGUGGUUUGAAAUUUCUUGGAGGCUUCUAACUCUGUGCUUCCACGGAGGUGUUCAUAUAGGCAGAGAAACUUUAAAAUUGACUCGUUUUUAUUCUUGCCCCAAAUUAAAGGCUUGCCUACCAUCAAUGACUUCCCUCUCAACAACUGACAUAUACAAGUGCCAGUCUUUCUGUAUGUUUUUUUUUUUUAAAUCAUGAUUAUCUAUAUCUUCAUCUCUAAGAUUCAACACUUUCAUCUAAAGCUAAUUGGGAUUAUCCCAGGGUGAUAGGAGACAGGUUUCAGCAUCAGUCACUGAACCCUCCCAAUUACCUGCUGAAGUGGACACUAUAAAGCAACCCCCUUUUACAAAGAAGGAAACUGAGACCGGAAGUUCAGGAAACUUGCCCCAAGUUGCCUAACUAGGGAGUGGCAGAAUCAGAAACAGGUACGAUUCGGCAUUGCGACACAAGAGGCAGUGAACUGAAACACUGAACUGUUUCCUCCACGCCCCUACAACAGAGUGUUUAAAGAAGAUAUUGCAAAGCGCAGCACAUUUUAGUGCAUCAGGAUAUAUACUAUGCAUAAGGAAACAUUCUCUUUUAAAAAAAAAAUUGCAUUCAUCCUCCAAAUUAAGGACCUAAGGAUUCUGAAAAUAUCCAAAUUACACAGUGACCAAAGGAAAAAGUUUGGUAAAAUGUGUCAAGUUUUCUUCGAAUGUUUCCAACCCUGUUGACCUAUCUCAAACACAUCCCUUUCCCCAGGCAGUUCUGAAAACUCAGUCUUGAAGUUCACCAUAUGCUUUCAGAUUUAUCAGAAUUACUCCUGAUCCUGAAGCAGAUACACUUCUGCCUGUGCACAAAGAACUCAGAGCCCUGGCAGGCAAUUAGAUAGAAAAGAAACAGUUCAGCUAUUAAGCUGCUUUUAGAUGCCCUGCACAGAAUAGACGAGCUCUUAAAAAAUCACUUAACAUAGAUUCUCUGCUCUUCCGUGGCCACUCUGUGCCCCAGAACAUUGGCUGCUGUAGGC